AACAUAUCCAACCUGCCAUGACUCGGGGAUAGCCUUUCGAAAGAAAGAUUAAUACCCGAUGGCAUAGUUCUUCCGCAUGGUAGAACUAUUAAAGAAUUUCGGUCAUCGAUGGGGAUGCGUUCCAUUAGGUUGUUGGCGGGGUAACGGCCCACCAAGCCUUCGAUGGAUAGGGGUUCUGAGAGGAAGGUCCCCCACAUUGGAACUGAGACACGGUCCAA
rnacentral:rRNA from 1 species